rnacentral:rRNA from 1 species
GUCCACGCCGUAAACGAUGAAUGCUAGCCGUUGGUGGGUUUACCCUUCAGUGGCGCAGCUAACGCUUUAAGCAUUCCGCCUGGGUAGUACGGUCGCAAGAUUAAAACUCAAAGGAAUUGACGGGGCCCGCACAAGCGGUGGAGCAUGUGGUUUAAUUCGACGCAACGCGCAGAACCUUACCAGCCCUUGACAUGUCCAGGAUCGGUCGCAGAGAUGUGACCUUCUCUUCGGAGCCUGGAACACAGGUGCUGCAUGGCUGUCGU